rnacentral:rRNA from 1 species
GAUGAACGCUGGCGGCGUGCUUAAACACAUGCAAAGUCGAGCGAAAGCACCUUGAAGUUUUCGGACCAAAGAGGUGACUGAGCGGCGGACGGGUGAGUAAACGCGUGGGUAAACCUGCCUCAUACAGGGGGAUAAACAGUUAGAAAAUGGCUGCUAAUACCGCAUAAGCGCACAGCAUCGCAUGAUGCCGUGUGAAAAAACUCCGGUGGUAUGGGAUGGACCCGCGUCUGA